GUGGGGAAUUUUGGACAAUGGGCGCAAGCCUGAUCCAGCCAUGCCGCGUGAGUGAAGAAGGCCUUCGGGUUGUAAAGCUCUUUCAGGUGGGAAGAAAAGGUUGCUCCUAAUACGAGCCACUGAUGACGGUACCAUCAGAAGAAGCACCGGCUAACUACGUGCCAGCAGCCGCGGUAAUACGUAGGGUGCGAGCGUUAAUCGGAAUUACUGGGCGUAAAGCGUGCGCAGGCGGUUUAGUAAGACAGAUGUGAAAUCCCCGAGCUUAACUUGGGAACUGCAUUUGUGACUGCUAAGCUAGAGUGUAGCAGAGGGGGGUAGAAUUCCACGUGUAGCAGUGAAAUGCGUAGAUAUGUGGAGGAAUACCGAUGGCGAAGGCAGCCCCCUGGGCUAACACUGACGCUCAUGCACGAAAGCGUGGGGAGCAAACAGGAUUAGAUACCCCGGUAGUCC
rnacentral:rRNA from 1 species